rnacentral:tmRNA from 1 species
GGGGAUGAAAGGAUUCUAUUAAGAGAAUCGCUGUUCUCAUAUGCUAUCUGGGAGGUGUUUGUGGCUUCCAUAAUCAAUUACAAACAACAACAAAUGCUAACGCAAGAAUCGGAGGUUUAGCUGUUUUAAAAGCUUCUUUUAAAAAAGUUCUAACUCCUGCUUACGCCUAGUCUAACUAAGCUUAAGCUGUAGCCUUCCCUACGGGAAUGAGUGUCGGAUGACCUGCUACAAAAAUGAUAUAGUUUCGUCUUAGAAUUAUGUCAUUAUUCAUAAGACCAUUGUCUAGAUUUUAUAAUUAUUUUGUAUAGACAUUGUAUUAAAAAUAAUUCUUAUGUAAGUUUUUUGUUAAUUUUCAAUUUAUAUAAGUACCAAAAUUAACUAUGAUAGUAGAAGUAUUUGGGUAGCCUCUUAAGACACGAGUUCAAUUCUCGUCAUCUCCACCA